GACGAACGCUGGCGGCGUGCUUAACACAUGCAAGUCGAACGGAAAGGCCUCUUUCGGGGGGUACUCGAGUGGCGAACGGGUGAGUAACACGUGAGUAACCUGCCCUUGACUUUGGGAUAACUUCAGGAAACUGGGGCUAAUACCGGAUAGGAGCUCCUGCUGCAUGGUGGGGGUUGGAAAGUUUCGGCGGUUGGGGAUGGACUCGCGGCUUAUCAGCUUGUUGGUGGGGUAGUGGCUUACCAAGGCUUUGACGGGUAGCCGGCCUGAGAGGGUGACCGGCCACAUUGGGACUGAGAUACGGCCCAGACUCCUACGGGAGGCAGCAGUGGGGAAUAUUGCACAAUGGGUGGAGGCCUGAUGCAGCAACGCCGUGUGCGGGAUGACGGCCUUCGGGUUGUAAACCGCUUUCGCUCAUGACGAAGCUUUGUGUGACGGUAGUGGGUAAAGAAGCACCGGCUAACUACGUG
rnacentral:rRNA from 1 species